AGCUCCAAUAGCGUAUAUUAAAGUUGUUGCAGUUAAAAAGCUCGUAGUUGGAUUUCUGGCGGGGACCCAAGUACCCCUGGUGGGUGUGCUCGGGCCCGGCCAUCCUUCUGUAAACUUUCGCGCGUCCUUCACCGGUCGGCAAAGGGAUCAGAUAAUUUACCUUGAGAAAAUUAGAGUGUUUCAGGCAGGCUUAGCCGGAAUACAUUAGCAUGGAAUAAUGGAAUAGGACUGAGGUCUCGUUGUUGGUUACGCGGACUACAGUAAUGAUUAAUAGGGACAGUUGGGGGCAUUAGUAUUUAUUAGCUAGAGGUGGAAUUCUCUAAUUUGAUAAAGACUAACUUAUGCGAAAGCAUUUGCCAAGGAUGUUUUCA
rnacentral:rRNA from 1 species